rnacentral:rRNA from 1 species
CAGGACGAACGCUGGCGGCGUGCCUAAUACAUGCAAGUGGAACGCAUGAUUGAUACCGGAGCUUGCUCCACCAUUAAUCAUGAGUCGCGAACGGGUGAGUAACGCGUAGGUAACCUACCUCAUAGCGGGGGAUAACUAUUGGAAACGAUAGCUAAUACCGCAUAACAGUAUUUAUCGCAUGGUAAAUACUUGAAAGGAGCAAAUGCUUCACUAUGAGAUGGACCUGCGUUGUAUUAGCUAGUUGGUGGGGUAAUGGCUCACCAAGGCAUCGAUACAUAGCCGACCUGAGAGGGUGAUCGGCCACACUGGGACUGAGACACGGCCCAGAC